GAUGAACGCUGGCGGCGUGCCUAAUACAUGCAAGUCGAGCGAAUGGAUUAAGAGCUUGCUCUUAUGAAGUUAGCGGCGGACGGGUGAGUAACACGUGGGUAACCUGCCCAUAUGACUGGGAUAACUCCGGGAAACCGGGGCUAAUACCGGAUAACAUUUUGAACCGCAUGGUUCGAAAUGGAAAGGCGGCUUCGGCGGUCCCUUCUGGAUGGACCCGGGUCGCAUUAGCUAGUUGGUGAGGUAACGGCUCACCAAGGCAACGAUGCGUAGCCGACCUGAGAGGGUGAUCGGCCACACUGGGACUGAGACACGGCCCAGACUCCUACGGGAGGCAGCAGUAGGGAAUCGUCCGCAAUGGACGAAAGUCUGACGGAGCAACGCCGCGUGAGUGAUGAAGGCUUUCGGGUCGUAAAACUCUGUUGUUAGGGAAGAACAAGUGCUAGUUGAAUAAGCUGGCACCUUGACGGUACCUAACCAGAAAGCCACGGCCAACUACGUGCCAGCAGCCGCAGUAA
rnacentral:rRNA from 1 species